rnacentral:rRNA from 1 species
GACGAACGCUGGCGGCGUGCUUAACACAUGCAAGUCGAACGAGAAGAGAUGAGAAGCUUGCUUCUUAUUAAUUCGAGUGGCAAACGGGUGAGUAACGCGUAAGCAACCUGCCCUUCAGAUGGGGACAACAACUGGAAACGGCUGCUAAUACCGAAUACGUUCUUUUUGUCGCAUGGCAGAGAGAAGAAAGGGAGGCUCUUCGGAGCUUUCGCUGAAGGAGGGGCUUGCGUCUGAUUAGCUAGUUGGAGGGGUAACGGCCCACCAAGGCGACGAUCAGUAGCCGGUCUGAGAGGAUGAACGGCCACAUUGGGACUGAGACACGGCCCAGACUCCUACGGGAGCAGCAGUCGGGAAUAUUGCGCAAUGGAGGAAACUCUGACGCAGUGACGCCGCGUGAACGAUGACGGCC